AUCAACAUUUUGUCUGUAUUUAACUAGCAGCUCCUCUACAAAUUCAAAAGUUCCUAAAUUUUUGCAAAUCUCCACAGCUGGUUCUCUUUUUUUGGCUGUCACUUUCGGCGUUGUUACUGAGAUCGCCAGCUCAGAAGUGCAUCUCUAGGAGAGCUUCUUCAGUUUGUUCCAGUCGCGAAUGGCUUCCCCUAUGUGGCGUACAUCCCGCGCAUAGGUGCGACAACAUCCCCCAAUGACCUUGGCACCCAGUUGCGCCCACUCGGGUACGUAGUUUGCCAGGGGAACACAGUGCUCCUUUCCCUGCCAGCCGUUGACCACGUCGUAGACCUCCCCGCUAUUGGGAUACACCACCAGCGGUAUCUGCUCACCCACUUCGCGGUCUCCAUUCAAACUCUUAAAGAGAGGAGUCACAAACUUGGGAUGCACACAAUUUACUCCGAUUGCCAGGCAUUUAUCCUGGGCAUUACGCUCAGCCAAUAAGUCCCAAAUAGCAUUUGUCGCAUCCGCAAAGGUCUCUCCAUGCGCCAAGCAUCUCCACCAGGGCC
rnacentral:sRNA from 1 species